rnacentral:rRNA from 1 species
AGAGUUUGAUCAUGGCUCAGGAUGAACGCUGGCGGUCUGCUUAACACAUGCAAGUCGAACGAACUCUUCGGAGUGAGUGGCGGACGGGUGAGUAACGCGUGAGAAUCUACCUGUGGGUCGGGGACAACCACUGGAAACGGUGGCUAAUACCGGAUGAGCCGAAAGGUAAAAGAUUUAUUGCCCACAGAUGAGCUCGCGUCUGAUUAGCUAGUUGGUAAGGUAAAAGCGUACCAAGGCGACGAUCAGUAGCUGGUCUGAGAGGAUGAGCAGCCACACUGGGACUGAGACACGGCCCAGACUCCUACGGGAGGCAGCAGUGGGGAAUUUUCCGCAAUGGGCGAAAGCCUGACGGAGCAAGACCGCGUGGGGGAGGAAGGUUUUUGGAUCGUAAACCCCUUUUGUCAAGGAAGAAGCUCUGACGGUACUUGACGAAUAAGCCUCGGCUAACUCCGUGCCAGCAGCCGCGGUAAUACGGAGGAGGCAAGCGUUAUCCGGAAUGAUUGGGCGUAAAGCGUCUGUAGGUGGCCAGCUAAGUCUGCUGUUAAAGAUCACAGCUCAACUGUGGGAAGGCAGUGGAAACUGGCAAGCUAGAGGUUGGUAGGGGU